UCAAGAAACGGCGGGCUUUAUGAUUAACAGGAAGGACCUCAACUGCAAGCCAGUCUAUGCCGGUUACUCAGCCUGUGAUACCUGUGGCUCGCUCUUCCCCUUCCUGCUUUAUCGACUUCCAAAGAUUUCACUGGGAGAUGAAACUAUAGCAGGGACCGUUCGGCCGGGGAUGGAAGCCUCUCAGCCAGAUGCCACGGGGAACCACUAGCAGGCUCCCUCAGCGACAACAACAAAAGGGAAAGAACUCACGAUGAAGGCCACCAAGUUCUGAUAAAUAAAAAUUACAUACAGUCACUAACAUA